rnacentral:rRNA from 1 species
UUGAUCCUGCCGGAGGUCACUGCUAUCAGUGUUCGACUAAGCCAUGCAAGUCAAAUGUUCUUCGUGAACAUGGCGAACUGCUCAGUAACACGUGGAUAACCUGCCCAUGGGAUUGGCAUAACACCGGGAAACUGGUGAUAAUACCGAAUAGACCAUCAUUGCUGGAAUGCUUUUUGGUCCAAAGGCUUCGGCCGCCCAUGGAUGGAUCUGCGGCCUAUCAGGUAGUAGUGGGUGUAAUGUACCUACUAGCCUACGACGGGUACGGGUUGUGAGAGCAAGAGCCCGGAGAUGGAUUCUGAGACAUGAAUCCAGACCCUACGGGGUGCAGCAGGCGCGAAAACUUUACAAUGCGGGAAACCGCGAUAAGGGGACACUGAGUGCCAGCAUAUUAUGUUGGCUGUCCACAUGUUUAAAAAUCAUGUGUCAGCAAGGGCCGGGCAAGACCGGUGCCAGCCGCCGCGGUAACACCGGCGGCCCGAGUGGUGAUCACUUUUAUUGGGUCUAAAGGGUCCGUAGCCGGUUUGAUCAGUCUUCCGGGAAAUCUGACAGCUCAACUGUUAGGCUUCCGGUGGAUACUGUCAGACUUGGGACCGGGAGAGGUAAGAGGUACUACAGGGGUAGGAGUGAAAUCUUGUAAUCCCUGUGGGACCACCAGUGGCGAAGGCGUCUUACCAGAACGGGUCCGACGGUGAGGGACAAAAGCUGGGGGCACGAACCGGAUUAGAUACCCGGGUAGUCCCAGCCGUAAACGAUGCUCGCUAGGUGUCAGGGACGGUGCGACCGUUUCUGGUGCCGCAGGGAAGCCGUGAAGCGAGCCACCUGGGAAGUACGGCCGCAAGGCUGAAACUUAAAGGAAUUGGCGGG